AUUCCACUUGCUAACCCCUCUUCUCCCAUCAUGCUACUUCUCUUCCACUUGAACAACAUAAUUUCCACCAAGAGGCAUCUAAGCUUGAAUUGGUUCAUGCUAUGGAAAUUCCCUAUCUUGGUUGAGAAUAAAACACGGACUCUCUGCCCUUGGCUUGACAAUCUCGAUUUUGUAUACAAUGAGUGGGUAUUUAAGAUUAAGCAAAAGCUAGAUGAUUCUAUUGAAAGCUUUAAGGCAAGACUUGUUGCUAAAGGUUCUAAUCAAAAUAAUGGUAUCGACUAUCAUGAAACAUCUAGUCCUGUUGUGAAAUCUUCUAUGUGUUCUUGGUGUUUGCAUUGGCAGUUUCUUUUUAUUGGCAUGUCAGGCAACUUGAUGUGUCAAAUGCAUUUGUACAUGGUUUUUGACUGAAGAUGUUUAUAUGGAGUAGCCUAAAGGAUUUGAAGAUUUUGUCAUCCUAAUUGGGUGUACCGUUUUCACAAGUUAAUCUAUGGGUUGAAACAAGACCCUCGAGCUUGGUUUCACUGUCUUUCUAGUGCUUUGAUUGAUAUUGGAUUUCAUUGUUCUGACUCGAAUCCAUCUUUAUUUGUGUUCCACUCUUGUGAUACUCAGAUUUUUGU
rnacentral:lncRNA from 1 species